rnacentral:tRNA from 1 species
ACCUGGGUGGCUCAGUUGGUUGAGCAUCUGACUUCGACUCAGGUCAUGAUCUCACAGUUUGUGAGUUCAAGCCCCACAUCAGGCU